rnacentral:rRNA from 1 species
UACGGAGGGGGCAAGCGUUGUUCGGAAUUACUGGGCGUAAAGCGCGCGUAGGUGGUUUGUUAAGUUGGAUGUGAAAUCCCCGGGCUCAACCUGGGAACUGCAUUCAAAACUGACAAGCUAGAGUAUGGUAGAGGGUGGUGGAAUUUCCUGUGUAGCGGUGAAAUGCGUAGAUAUAGGAAGGAACACCAGUGGCGAAGGCGACCACCUGGACUGAUACUGACACUGAGGUGCGAAAGCGUGGGGAGCAAACAGG